rnacentral:rRNA from 1 species
UACGAAGGGGGCUAGCGUUGCUCGGAAUUACUGGGCGUAAAGCGCACGUAGGCGGCUCUUUAAGUCGGGGGUGAAAUCCUGGAGCUCAACUCCAGAACUGCCUUCGAUACUGUAGAGCUUGAGUUCGGGAGAGGUGAGUGGAACUGCGAGUGUAGAGGUGAAAUUCGUAGAUAUUCGCAAGAACACCAGUGGCGAAAGGCG